rnacentral:lncRNA from 1 species
AGCAAGGACAGGGCAGAUACAGCGGGAGAUUGAGCUGGGCCACCAGUGUGGGUUGGCCUUGAGCUGGUAAGGGACAUUGAGACUUCUAGAGUGAAGGAAAAGAAAGUAAAAACCAAUGAAUAUAGAUAUGUUUACAGAGAAAUUGAGCGAGACCUCCCUGAUGACCUCAAUUUUUCCACUGAUGUAAAGGCAAGGUCAUCUGCUGAGAAUGAAAUCAGCAGUUGUUUGGAGAAAGGACUUGGGAGUGUGGCCCGUGGGCCAGCAGCAGCAGCAUCACCUAAGAGUUUCCUAGAAAUACAGAGUCUCAGGCCCCAGCCCAGACCUGCUGAAUCGACAUGCACAUUUAAACGGAUCCCCAGACCGAAGGUCUUUGGAGUCCCUGACCACCUAGGAAAUAUAACUCCUUGGUCUUGGAUUUCUCGGCCUGGUCCUCAGAAAUGGUGCUGGACAAAGCUGUGAAUCCCCCGGUGCAUAGUUGUAUAUUCUUCAUUGUGGGUCCUUCUAGUUGUGGCAUGUGGGACGCUGCCUCAGCGUGGUUUGAUGAGCAGUGCCAUGUCCGCGCCCAGGAUUCCAACCAACGAUACACUGGGCCGCCUGCAGCGGAGCGCGUGAACUUAACCACUCGGCCACGGGACCAGCCCCAUCCUAAGCUACCAUUUCAUGUGUUUUACAAACAGGUGUAUAAGAAGUAAUACAUUUUAAUGCCUUAUAGUUCCCUUGAUUGUGACUCUGGCCAACUUUACAAUGAAGUAGCAGGCUUCUCUGGAAAUUGAAUCCCAAAGAUUAAUUUUAACUAGGUAUAACUUGUCUUUUGGAUGCUUCCAAUUUAUUGCAAGUAGUUUUUAUAUUAAUAUUUUGUUCUGACUAAAUCAGUGGAGUUUAUUUAUUUGGCAACUUAUAUUUUUCUUAUUUUACUAUUUUGUUGUCGUUAAGCAAUAUGGAACAAUUGAAUGCUGUAGGUGCGUCUAUUUAGGUCCAUUUCAUGGAACAAUUAUUUAUUGAGCAUACACUUGGUGCUUGGAGAGCAAUAAAGCAGUGGCAUAGCAAGGGCAGAGUGGUGGGAGCAGUUCACCUGGAAUGCAGGCAAAAGGGAGUGCUUGUCUGGAGAGAAUCAAAAACAAUGACAAAACCGACGAAAAUCACUCUGCUUUUUGUUAUCACCGUGCACCAGAAAGUCUAAACAAUGGCAAAGCUUUUUGUUGUCCUAAGUUCUAAGCAAUUGCUGUGGAUACUGCUAAGUUUUAAUAAUAUAUAUGUUAGCUUCAAUUUAGCACAUUUUUAUUAUUUAUCCUUUAGUAAGCAUUUUAUUCCACAUGGAAGUUAAUAAGGAGAACUCCCAGAUAUAUUGUCAUUCCUGACAU